rnacentral:lncRNA from 1 species
AAGAGAAUUGUGAGCGAUGUUUUGAUAACAGUUUUAUGAAACAUGCCGAACUGUGCAAUAUGUACUGGUUGUUAUCACCAUGAUGACUGCAUCCAUCAUGACAGCAUAUGUUUUUCAGAAGGUGUGGGGAAAAUACUGGUGAAUGAACAGGCAGCUCUGCCAUCGACUCUGUGGCUGUCUCUGAUCACUGAGAACCACUGUUUGGAAUCGCUUUUAUGCACUGUUUCCUUACAGAAGAGACUUAGGCCAUUUUCUUGUCUUGCUUUUCCUAGCUGCAGUGCUGGGUAGCAGGGAGAAGAGGACGUGGGUAACAGCACAAAAAGCCACCUAUACUGUCAGCUGGAGCCGAAGCGUAUGGGAGCAAUGCCGGGCUGGCCCGCCUGGUGGCAAACUGCUGUCACUGGCAGCACCUCUCUGCUGAGCAAGUUUGGAAACAACGAGCGCGCUCACUGGGAUUUCAGGCUGGCUGUAAUUGUUUGAAUGUAAUGCCAUUCUCUGUAUUCAUCCAAGAAGAUGCAGCCUUUUCAAAAAUCUCACCUUCAGUCAAUGAAACGGAGGACCCCAUACCACAAGGCCUGAUUCUGUUAGCUUCCAUGUAUCCAAAGCUACAGUGACUCAGCUGACUUCGAUGAAUGCCCUCUGGAACUGUGCUAGCUGGAAACCAGCCUCACUCCUACCACCAUGGAACUUUUUUUAUGCUGUGACAUUGUAAUGGGAGGUGGAGACACCUCGAGGAGAAGGUCGAAACAGACACAGCAAUUGCAGGCAGUAAUGUCUGUCUAUGACUGGAG